ACAAAUUAUAACACAAAAAAGUAAAAAAAUAUUAUAUUGUUUACAUAACAAAACCAAAAACAUUCGAGCGUUGCCAAUGGCCACGACGCGCAGUUCACAGAUAGCGCAUAUAUGUGUGUGUUUGUAUUGGUGUGUUGUGCCGGCAUUGUUUAUCUUCAAGAUACAAAUACUGAACGUUCUCAAGAAAAAAACGUGCGCACAUAACAGAAGCAGCAGAAAAACACAACACAAACACACGCACACAUCCACCACAGACACAAAUAGCCGCUCUUAGGCCCUGAGAACAGUUCUGAAGAGCGUAAGAGAGCGUGGGAGAGAACGUGAGAACAGCAGCAGCUGUGUGUCUGCUAAGAGCGCGUUUAACACUGUUGCCGUUGUUGUUCCCCAUACUGCGAGAACGUUCCACUUUGUUUUUGUGUACGUGCGUAUGCUGGUGUGCGUGCGUGUGKGUCUGUCGACGUUUCUGAUUUUGAUUUCGUUACUUGCGCCAGCGUCCGCGUCAGUUUGCUUUGUGAUUCAGUGUUAAUUUUCAUAAUAUUAUGUAACAACAUGUGCGCUGGCUGACUGGCUGGCCCAUUGGCCCGCAGGCAAUUGAAAUUAAGUACCAUAUCAGAGAAAAUAAUCGUAGAAGCAUUAAUCAUACGCACACACAUUCAAAUGCACAAAGUAUGAGUUUCUAGUUCCAGAGGCAGCUGCUGCUCUUUGCGGCAAGUUCGUUGACCGUUUAUGUAACGCGCCAAAGUCUUAAAAAGUGGGCUGCAAAGCUCAGAAUUUUAGGCCAGUCAAUUAACAGCAUACGCGACAAAUGUCACGUCACUGCGCCAAGAGAGAGUGAUAGAGAGUGCAAGAGAGUGCGCAAGUAAUAGAGAGAUGCAAGUAAUGGCAGUUAGUAUGAACUGUGCACUGGUUGAGUAAUAGAUACGGCAAUUCUUUAUUCUGCUGCUGUUGUUUUUGUUGUAGUUGUUGCCGCUGUCAUGAAAUGGGCAGGCAAUAAAACGAAAAUUGAAUCGAAGAGAAAGAGUUUAGAUGCCAGAGAGCGAGAGCGUGAGUGAACAAGUGUGAGUGUGUGUGGAUGGCGCUCUUUGGCUGCGCGCUCUUCGCGUAUGUUUGUGCAUGUGUGUGUGUGUGUUUGAAUUAUAAAACAGAAUCAAAAGCUGGCGAUGUAGGCAGAAUCAGGCAAAACGGCAUUUUAUAUAUAUGCUCAAUCGAACGCGUCGUCGCUUCCGCUGACCCAACACCAACACCAACAGCAGCAGCAGCAGUGGCAGCCGCAGCAACAAAUCAGCAACUCCAGUGACUGCCAAACUGCGAAGGGCAACGCACGCGUCUUCGCUCUCAAACAAAAAAUAAAAAUAAAUAUAACUAAAAUUAUAAAUUAAUAUAUAUGUACAUGGCAUAUAUAAAUAUAUACAACAAAAAUUUAAAUUAAUUGAGUGAUAUUUUUGGAGCUGAUAUGUAGAGCUCAAAAGUCGUUGCCAUCGACCAGCAGCCAAUGUGAAGUGCAU